rnacentral:ncRNA from 11 species
UGAAUAUCGAGAGUUGUUGAAUACUCAGAUUUCGAUCUGAGUAGCAUGAUUCUUUUCUUUGAAUAGGAAGAUCUGAUGC